rnacentral:rRNA from 1 species
CAGAGGGGGCAAGCGUUGUUCGGAAUUACUGGGCGUAAAGGGCGCGUAGGCGGCCUUCUAAGUCGAACGUGAAAUCCCCGGGCUCAACCCGGGAACUGCGUCCGAUACUGGGAGGCUUGAAUCCGGGAGAGGGAUGUGGAAUUCCAGGUGUAGCGGUGAAAUGCGUAGAUAUCUGGAGGAACACCGGUGGCGAAGGCGGCAUCCUGGACCGGUAUUGACGCUGAGGCGCGAAAGCCAGGGGAGCAAACGGGAUUAGAUACCCCGGUAGUCCUGGCCCUAAACGAUGAAUGCUUGGUGUGGCGGGUAUCGAUCCCUGCCGUGCCGAGGCUAACGCAUUAAGCAUUCCGCCUGGGGAGUACGGUCGCAAGGCUG